rnacentral:rRNA from 1 species
CAUGCAAGUCGAGGGGCAGCAUGUUGGUUGCUUGCAACCAACGAUGGCGACCGGCGCACGGGUGAGUAACGCGUAUCCAACCUACCCUUGUCCAUCGGAUAACCCGUCGAAAGGCGGCCUAACACGAUAUGCGGUUCACAGCAGGCAUCUAACGUGAACGAAAUGUAAAGGAGAAGGAUGGGGAUGCGUCUGAUUAGCUUGUUGGCGGGGUAACGGCCCACCAAGGCUACGAUCAGUAGGGGUUCUGAGAGGAAGGUCCCCCACAUUGGAACUGAGACACGGUCCAAACUCCUACGGGAGGCAGCAGUGAGGAAUAUUGGUCAAUGGACGAGAGUCUGAACCAGCCAAGUAGCGUGCAGGAUGACGGCCCUAUGGGUUGUAAACUGCUUUUAUAGGGGGAUAAAGUGUGCCACGUGUGGCAUAUUGCAGGUACCCUAUGAAUAAGGACCGGCUAAUUCCGUGCCAGCAGCCGCGGUAAUACGGAAGGUCCGGGCGUUAUCCGGAUUUAUUGGGUUUAAAGGGAGCGUAGGCCGUUUGGUAAGCGCGUUGUGAAAUGUCGGGGCUCAACCUGGGCAUUGCAGCGCGAACUGCCAGACUUGAGUGCGCAGGAAGUAGGCGGAAUUCGUCGUGUAGCGGUGAAAUGCUUAGAUAUGACGAAGAACUCCGAUUGCGAAGGCAGCCUGCUGUAGCGCAACUGACGCUGAAGCUCGAAAGCGUGGGUAUCGAACAGGAUUAGAUACCCUGGUAGUCCACGCGGUAAACGAUGGAUGCUCGCUGUUUGCGUCUGACGUAAGCGGCCAAGCGAAAGCGUUAAGCAUCCCACCUGGGGAGUACGCCGGCAACGGUGAAACUCAAAGGAAUUGACGGGGGCCC